rnacentral:rRNA from 1 species
AGCUCCAAUAGCGUAUAUUAAAUUUGUUGCAGUUAAAAAGCUCGUAGUUGAAUUUCAGGCGACUCUUGCCAGUGGUCUGCCUAAUGGGUAUGUACUGCUGGCAAUCGCCUAAAUUUUCUGGGGGAACUCUUGGCAUUCGCCAGGGGCAGAACCAGAGACAUACCGUGAAUAAAUCAGAGUGUUUAAAGCAGGCUUUUAAGCUUGAAUGCAUUAGCAUGGAAUAAUAGAAUAGGACAUUUGGUUCUAUUUUGUUGGUUUGAGAACCAAUGUAAUGAUUAAUAGGGACAGUUGGGGGCAUUAGUAUUUCGUGGUCAGAGGUGAAAUUCUUGGACCCACGAAAGACUAACUUCUGCGAAAGCAUUUGCCAAAGAUGUUUUCA